UCGAACGGGCGUAGCAAUACGUCAGUGGCGGACGGGUGAGUAACACGUGGGAAUAUGCCUUUCGGUUCGGAACAACUCGGGGAAACCCGUGCUAAUUCCGGAUACGCCCUUACGGGGAAAGAUUUAUCGCCGAAAGAUUAGCCCGCGUUGGAUUAGCUAGUUGGUGAGGUAAAGGCUCACCAAGGCAACGAUCCAUAGCUGGUUUGAGAGAACGACCAGCCACACUGGGACUGAGACACGGCCCAG
rnacentral:rRNA from 1 species